AUUGAACGCUGGCGGCAGGCCUAACACAUGCAGGUCGAGCGGAUGAAGGGAGCUUGCUCCUGGAUUCAGCGGCGGACGGGUGAGUAAUGCCUAGGAAUCUGCCUGGUAGUGGGGGAUAACGUCCGGAAACGGGCGCUAAUACCGCAUACGUCCUGAGGGAGAAAGUGGGGGAUCUUCGGACCUCACGCUAUCAGAUGAGCCUAGGUCGGAUUAGCUAGUUGGUGGGGUAAAGGCCUACCAAGGCGACGAUCCGUAACUGGUCUGAGAGGAUGAUCAGUCACACGGGAACUGAGACACGGUCCAGACUCCGAAGGGAGGCAGCAGUGGGGAAUAGUGGACAAUGGGCGAAAGCCUGAUCCAGACAUGCCGCGUGGGUGAAGAAGGUCUUCGGAUUGUAAAGCACUUUAAGUUGGGAGGAAGGGCAGUAAGUUAAUACCUUGCUGUUUUGACGUUACCAACAGAAGAAGCAACGGCUAACUUCGUG
rnacentral:rRNA from 1 species